CCGAUCAAGUCACGUGUGUGUUCCCCGCUAACCUGCCCCCGGAGCUGUGUGUCCCCGGCAGUGGUUCCGGUUCCGAGCGGCGGACUGAGCUGCUUCUGGUGAUGCUGAAGCUACGGUAGAGCCGUGCAGGAUGAGCAGAUUGCCGAAUGACCAGGAGGAAGCUCGAGCUGAUCGUUUCAAUUCCAAUACUUCCCUUAGUACCGCACAUUCCAUUCACACAUCCCAACUUGCAGCUAAAUUAGAGCCAUACAGUGACAGGAAACCUAUUUCUGAUGUUAGGAGGACUUUCUGCUUAUUUGUUACUUUUGACCUUUUAUUUGUUGGUUUGCUGUGGAUAAUAGAAUUAAAUGUAGAUGGUGGCAUAAUUCAUAGUUUAGAACGUGAGGUCAUUCACUAUGACUUCCAUAAAUCUUACUUUGAUAUCUUCUUACUGGCAGUAUUCCGAUUCGUUAUGCUGGUUAUUGCGUACGCUCUGUUUAGGUUAAACCACUGGUGGAUGAUUGCGAUUACAACAGCUGUCACCAGUGCUUUUCUAAUUGUAAAAGUAGUUGUUUCCAAGCUCCUGGUCCAAGGUACUGCCUUUGCUUACUUACUGCCAAUCAUCUCAUUCAUACUAGCCUGGAUUGAGACUUGGUUCCUGGAUUUCAAGGUGUUGCCACAAGAGUCUCAGGAUGAAAACAGAUUCUUUGUAGUGUCUGAUGUAUCAGAGCAUGCACCUCUUAUUCUUCCUGGCCCCCUGUCUGAUGGACAGUUUUAUUCACCUCCCGAAUCUGUUGCUGAUUCUGACGAGGAACAUGAUGCUGAGAAUCCAAAACGUUAACAGAUGGAUUUCCGAGACCCAGCCUGUACCAUUGGGAUGGACUCCACCCAAGGCUGGAACCCAGCAGACAAUGAGUUUAAACUAGUAAAUGAAAGGAAGGGGCUGAAUGGAAACACAAGUAGAGCAUUCAAUAAGUGGACGCAGCUCAGAUUGAAAGGGAUAAUGGAAAGAUUUCUGAGUGUCUGACCUGCAGAAUUUUCCCAGUACUUGGAUUCCUUUUGGGGAAGAACAUGAUGUAACUGGCAGAGGGAAAUCUGUGAUUCACUUUAUGCCCCAGAGCCCUCAGCUGUUGGAAGUUUAUUACUUUACUGCCUUAUGCCAGCUCUGAAAUGGCUUCAGGAUCCUGCCAUCGCUGAACUAAUUUCAAUUCCAGAAUCAGCUGCUGCACAUUUUUCAAAAUAGCUCGUUUUAGGCUUCAACCUAAUCAUUUUCAGCAAUUAAUAAUUCUACUGAAAUAAUAUUCAAGGAUCACCAAUAUGUGUGAUCAGGUUACCUGACUGAUGUGAUCAGUACUAUUCACUGUAAGCAUUAUGUUGCACUAAAAUUCUAUAUUAUUUUGGUUUGGUCUUUCAUUAUUUUGAAUGAAAUAGGCCAAAUGCAACAAACCAUCAUAAAUUAUGAAGUGCUCCUGAACAUUCAAUUUUUAUAGAUUUAUGCCUGUUUGUACAGCUAUGUAUUUGAGAUGCAUAGAGGGAGAAUUACACAGUUGUGCAGAUGACUGACAGUGUUGUGUUUAUGUUCCUGAAUACUGAUGCACAUCUCAGCUUGCAGUUGUUACUUUCUGUGAUGCAAGUUUAUUGAAGGAAAUUUUUAAAAAUCAUUUUUAUUUAGCAGAAACUAGAAACCGAUUAGGCAAAAUUGUUUUUUCCAUUCUUGACAAUAAAACCAAACAGAAUGUUUUGAAAGGAGUUAAGGGGUGGUUUUCUUCUGCCAUUAACUACUUUGAGAAUGCAGAAAGUCCCAAAGUUCAGUGCACGUAACAGGAUGCAAUUUCCACUGCCAGUGACAAUUGGAAUAUAUUAAACAACACCCUUAACACUGCAAGCUCUUAUGAUCUGGCACAUGCUAUUAGAUGAGAAGGAUUAAUGCAGGUAUUCCAAUCUUUUGAUAUGUGCAACCCUUAAGUUUUAAAUAUGUUUAUUUCCAAUAAUGACAAUAGAUUUAUAUGUUAAUGCAAUGAGUCAUUAUAAUCAAUUUUAAUUACCUGAAGAGCUGUGUAAAUAUUUACUAUGUACAAUAAGGUAUUAAUCCAUUUGCUUAAAAAAUCUCCUGGCAUGCUGCAGCUGUGAAUGACCCUUUCGCCAGCUCAUGCAGAAAUGACAUUGUUGUAUUUUCAGAAUUUUACGCAACGAAGUGGCAUAUUUGAAUUUGAGCUAAGAUGAAACUGAACUUGAAGGCAGAUUGCUUCUGCCUCGUGAUUCCUAUCCCUUAAGAACAUCCUCUAUUGACAGAUGUCUUCACCUGCUCAUUACCCCUUCCUAAGCGCCUCACCUAUUGAGUGGGCUGCCACAGAACUAAGAACUAAUGAUUAAUGUUUCAUGAGCCACUAUGUGGAUUGUGGGUGAAUCUUUGAUCCAGAAUAAAUUGGACUCACCUCUUCAGCCCAUUGAAGGAAGGUGGAUUUCAGUUAGGACCAGGAUGUUCUAAGGGUCUAUAUCAUUUUCCUUUGGUUAUAAGUGUCAGUUAUAUUUCAUUGAUAACACCCCUAUCAAAUAGACAAUCAUGGCUUCUUCUUUAAGUUACACAUAGUUUAUAGCCAUUUCUUCCCACUUCCCUCACCCUCCAAGACUAAAUAUCUAGGCAUGAGGAUACCCAAAUAUGAAUAUAUAAUGUGCUAUCGAAGAUCAUAGAAUCCCUUCAGUGUGGGAACAAGCCAUUCAGCCAAUCAAGACCACACCGACCCUCCGAAGAGCAUCUCACCCAUCCGAAGACCCAUCCUCCUACCAUUUGAGAAAAUAUUUUAAUAGCUUAAGUAGGCUUGAAAUGGAUAUGUCAAUAAUUUGGUUUAAUCAAUUGCUUUAAUGCGUUUGGUGGAAGAUCUCCAAUUUAAUUAUAUACAAAUAGAUAUAUGAUAUCCCAGAGAGCUAUGAAAAUGACUGAUUUUCAGUUAAAAUGGUUAAUGUGUGAUAAAAAGAGCUAUUGUUACACAUUAUUAUAAUUGCUUCCUGCAUGAUCCACAGACUUGUAACCUGCAUUUUGUUCAGCUCAGAUAACAAAUUGUGGAGCUGGAUGAACACAGCAGGCCAAGCAGCUUUUGUGCUCCUGAGAUGCUGCUUGGCCUGCUGUGUUCAUUCAGCUCCACACUUUGUUACCUCAGAUUCUCCAGCAUCUGCAGUUCCCAUUAUCUCUGAUCACUCUGUUCAGCUCAGUUUCGUCUCAGUCUGGUUGCUUCUGAAUGCAACUCAAAGCAAGUGAUAAACUUCAUCCAAAUCUUGUACAAAUCAAGUCUGCUCUUUAAUUAAAAUUACAAUAACUGUUUUAGUUUUUUUGUUUACACUGCUUACUUCAAAUUAAUGUGAAAAAAUGCUUUAGCAUAUAAAGCACCUCUGAAUUAUUAAGAGCAGACUCUAUGUACAAAUUUAUUAAAUAAUUUGAUGUUCAUUAUAUUAGCUCUAUGUUUCCUUUUUAUGUCUGCAGCUUUGGAUCGUAUUGUAUUCAAUUUUCACCUAAAAGUCAAGUUCCACCUCAGGCCUGAUAUUCAAAAUUUUGCCCUUCAUUCUAUUUCCCUUCUAUCUCUUCCAUCCUUAGUGAUUCUAGUGAAGUUUCCUGUCACUUGGCUUUACAAGGUCCUAAUGCAACUCACUGUGGGAGCAAGACUGCGUGUUGCUGAAAUAGACUGUUGCAACAUUGCAUUCACAUCAACCUCUCUGGCCAAACCUUACACAAGGCAAUUUGGGCUCUAAGUGAUCAAACUACUAAUAUUAAACAUAGGAGUUUAUUAAGAGAUGAAAAGAAUCAACAAAUGAAAAUUGAGGUAGCAGAAUCAGCAGCUACUGACUACUGGUGCAUGUUAUGUAAUGUCUGUAACUUUCAAGUCAUGCCUUGUUUUAGUAGAUUGAAAUAAAUGGAUCAAUUUAUACAUUAAGUCAUUUGCAAUAAAAGUAAAUGGAUCAAAGAAAUAUGAGGAAAGAUGUUUAUUUGAGAGAUUGUAUUUUUGUUGCUUAUGAUUUGUGAUGCUUUCUCUGCCUUUUUGUCACCUUGCGUUUGAUUUUUACUGCCCUGACAAAGUCAGAUGUUUUAAACCCAUCAAAUAAUUUUAUUUCU